rnacentral:rRNA from 1 species
UACGUAGGGGGCGAGCGUUGUCCGGAUUUAUUGGGCGUAAAGCGCGUGUAGGCGGCCUGGAAGGUCGGCUGUGAAAACUCGAGGCUCAACCUCGAGACGUCGGUUGAAACCAUCUGGCUAGAGUCCGGAAGAGGAGUGUGGAAUUCCCGGUGUAGCGGUGAAAUGCGCAGAUAUCGGGAAGAACACCGGUGGCGAAGGCGGCACUCUGGGACGGGACUGACGCUGAGACGCGAAAGCGUGGGGAGCGAACAGG